rnacentral:misc_RNA from 1 species
GAGAGAGAGAGAGAGAGAAUAAAAGAAGCAGCUGUAGAUUUAUGUUGGAAUAUUAAGAUGCUAUUCCUCUAGCUGGGAAGUUUCUCACCAAACAAUCCAACAAAGGGACGAAGAAAGGUUUGGUAAAGGCGAGAUUCAAAAUGUGUUCUCACCUUCACAAGAGUACUUGUUUUUACCAUUUUGAGUUCAUUCCAUGCAAUUCAAGUGCUCAAAUUCAAAAGCAGCAAUAAUUCAUUAUCAUCAUUAUGAUUACAUCUAACUUCCUAAAUUAGGGUGAUGACAAAGUGCCUAAAAACCGAAUUUUAAGCAAACCCAAUAAGCGAUUUAGCUGAUUUGUCCUUGUAUAUAUACAAACAGGUUCCAUAGUUCAGGCAUUGAAAAUUCGAAAAAGGAAAUUUAGUUCAAAGUUCAAACUUUUUCUUUGACAGCUUCUUCCCG